UACGUAGGGACCGAGCGUUGUCCGGAAUCAUUGGGCGUAAAGAGCGUGUAGGCGGCCACUUAAGUCCUGCGUGAAAUCCUGCGGCUCAACCGCAGGCGGUCGUGGGAAACUGGGUGGCUAGAGUGCGGGAGAGGAGAGUGGAAUUCCUGGUGUAGCGGUGGAAUGCGCAGAUAUCAGGAAGAACACCCGUGGCGAAGGCGGCUCUCUGGGACGGAACUGACGCUAAGGCGCGAAAGCGUGGGGAGCGAACAGG
rnacentral:rRNA from 1 species